rnacentral:tRNA from 1 species
GCAUUGGUGGUUCAGUGGUAGAAUUCUCGCCUGCCACGCGGGAGGCCUGGGUUCGAUUCCCGGUCAAUGUA